GUGAAGCUAUGCUAACGAGUUACCGGUCAUCUUGUUAGAAUUGUUGUGCAAUGUAUAAAUAGGGUUUUCGUUGUACUUUAAAGUUGUGUGUUAAUUGUACAACGUUUCAGAAUUGAAGUCCGAUAAUCCAUAUAAUUGACAAUCUUACUCUAAGACGCGUCUCCUUAAAAAAUCAAACAUUCAGAUUUCAUUUUUUUUUAGGCAAGAAUACGCGAAGAUGUUUUUUUUUCCAAUCCCAAAAUUAUGCACCACUAUAAAUUGAUAGUCACUUUAUUGUUCCCGUACCUCUCAAUCCUAUGGAAAGCAACUUGUUACACUUUAAACCAAUACAACAUGUAGUAGCUUGUAAGUGUUUUACUAAAUAAUUUUUUUGUUCAUAAAAAACCCAGUCACUUGUACAGUUACCAAUAUGACUAGAAAAGAAUUUAAUUUCUUUUUAAUUUUCAAAAAGAUGUAGAAGAAUACCUAUUGUUAAUGCUUCAAGAUAAUGCUUCUCAAUAAAAGUCAUAAGAAAACCUUUCUUUUUAAGAGAAAGUGGUGAAAUUUUGUCUUCCAAAACCAAUGUCAUCAGUCUUCAAGUUAAGACACUUGUUGAUAAUACUCAUAAGAGAGUAGAGUACCAAUAAAGGUUUUUAAAGUGAUACGUCGCGGAACUUAAUUUGCCUCUUGAACUUUUAAAGAUAAAAGCAUACUUUUGAAAAUGUCGAAACCUAGUUUAAUUUCAAUACGGGAGUGUCAGCCAAAUAGGAAGACCGUCAAUUAUCGAACGUUAAUUUGUAGAAUCUCAGCGGAAAUAAUCACGAUAAGAAAAAUCGUUUUUUAAAAAAAAGACCCAGCAAACGCCUGGAUUCAGCUUCAAAUUAAAAUAAACUCAAAUAAUUUAAGGACGGAUCUCUAGGCAAUAACGCAACCGAUUUGUCUUUUUCCAUGUUAUUCUUGGAUAUAAAGUUUCAAGAAGAUUGAUAAAGUCAAAAAAAUGUGCGACAUGUUACAGAGGUUUACAUAAAAAAACUUUUACUCUAGAUGAGAAGAAUGUGUCCUUUUAUAUAAACGAGUCAAGGACCUAUUGAAAAAGGGAGUGAUUCAUUGGUAUGAGUAAAACAUUCUUCGUAAUUUAAGUUUGGCGUCAUGGUGUAUUGUAUUACUGAAAAGAACGUUUAAUGAUAAUUUUUUCGUUUUACAAGACCUUUUUUAGUGAGCAUUAAAAGAAUUUAAAAUGUCCUUCUGGAAACCUCUGUCGCUAAGAAACUUACAUGUGGUCACGCUGUUUACAUAUUUCUUAUUUUUUUAUGAUAAAUUGUCAGAAAAAUAAAGGGAACAUCUUUUAAAUGGAUUCUUAAAGACACAAUAGAAAUUCCGUUUUAGCAGAAGGGAAAACGGAAAAUAGCUUUAAGGUUUUUCAAGUGAUGCAUAAACCUAGAUAAAAGUUAAAAAGUGUUUCCACUCAGCGUCAUGUUGUUUAAAAAUUGUUUCGACCCUUGACAGUUGUGUUUCGCGAGGAUUCUACACAAUUUGAAAGCAUCCUAUUUUGCAAAAAAAUAAAAUAACAAUAUUUUUCUAAAAAAAACUAAGAAAAAAAACUAAGGCAGUGAUAUUUUCGGCAUUUUUCUUAACGAGCAAAAACAACAUAAUGAAUUGCAAUAAACACAUUUGAAAAUGGGUAAACCAUGACCAAAAUGGUGUAGUAUAUAACCGAAAAAAAAAAACUAGUGACUAACAAUCAUUACACGUAAACGAUUAAAAAAGCUUGAGCAUCAAAAAAUUUUUUAAAAAUUAUGUAAGGAAUAAGGUUGUCUAUAAAGCGAAAACGAUAAGGUUGUUUGAAGAGAUACUAAGGGAUGCGUUCGUUUUCGCGUUUCCUUAAUCUUGAAAAAUGAAUUUUUUUUUUAUUAAUGAAUUCCAGUGCUGAUUUAAAAAUGAAGAAAUUGUGCACACUCCCAAGAAAAAAAUCGACUUUCCGAAUGUGUGGUUCAAAAGAAGAAGAAAAUCACGCAUAGAAUCUUUUACCUAAAAGUCACGUCAAGGCAACAUCUAAAUAAAAAGGAUGUUUUAUUGCAGCUUCAGGUCGAAUAUAGUUAUCGCGCUUCUCAAGAACUAUUUCCUGUAAUUCCGUUCUCAUACAAACCCUUUCAGAUAUAACUGUCAUUAUGACAAUAGAACAUAAAAUGAC